rnacentral:rRNA from 1 species
AUGGGCCUCAAGGCGGGCGGGGCGGGCAAGCUCAGGCUCCCGUCGGUGGUGGCCGCGGUGGCGCGGUCGCGGAUGAUGAAGCUGUGGGUGCUCCGCGCCACCGCCACGGUGCUGCUCUGGACCUGCCUCGUCCAGCUCACGGCCGUCGGGGAGACGUGGGGGCCGCGCGUCCUCAUGGGCUGGUCGUCGUGCCGGACGGCGCGGCUCGCGAUGACGGAGUCCGUCGUGGAGAAGGCCGUGCUGCCGCCAAGGAGAAUUUAUAGGAACAAUGGCUAUCUGAUGGUUUCAUGCAAUGGUGGGCUUAACCAAAUGCGAGCAGCUAUAUGUGACAUGGUUGCCAUUGCAAGAUAUUUGAAUGUGACUCUGAUAGUUCCCGAGUUGGAUAAGACAUCAUUUUGGCAUGACCCAAGUGAGUUCCAGGAUAUAUUCGACGUUGAACAUUUCAUAACUUCUCUGAGAGGCGAGGUUCAUAUACUUAGAGAAUUGCCUCCAAGAAUGAAGCAAAGAGUGGAAGUGGGGAUGUUUCACUCAAUGCCACCUAUUAGUUGGUCAGAUAUCUCCUAUUAUCAUAAUCAGAUACUUCCUUUGAUUCAGAAACACAAGGUUGUCCAUCUAAACCGAACUGAUGCCAGGCUUGCAAAUAAUGGUUUGCCCCUGGAUAUCCAGAAGUUGCGUUGCCGAGUUAAUUAUGGUUCACUGAAGUUCACACCCCAAAUUGAAGAGUUGGGUAGACGAGUGAUUCGAAUUCUCCGCAAAAAUGGCCCUUUCUUGGUUCUUCAUUUACGAUAUGAAAUGGAUAUGCUGGCGUUCUCUGGCUGUACUGAAGGUUGCACGCGUGAAGAGGCAGAUGAGCUCACUAGGAUGAGAUAUGCUUACCCAUGGUGGAAAGAGAAAGUCAUUGACUCUUAUGUGAAAAGAAAAGAUGGCUUUUGCCCAUUAACGCCUGAGGAGAUUGCUCUUGUCCUCAGAGCAUUGGAGGUUGACACUAGUAUGCAAAUAUAUAUCGCGGCUGGAGAAAUAUAUGGCGGAAAGCGCAGAAUGGCUUCUCUUACUUCAGCGUAUCCCAACGUGGUGAGAAAGGAGACGCUCUUGGAACCGUCUGAUCUCAGGUUCUUUCAGAACCAUUCAUCACAGAUGGCCGCACUCGAUUACUUGGUGUCACUCGAAAGUGACAUAUUUGUUCCAACAUAUGAUGGGAACAUGGCUAAGGUUGUCGAGGGGCAUCGCAGGUUCAUGGGAUUCAAGAAAACAAUCUUAUUGGACAGAAAAAUUAUCGUUGAUCUGGUUGAUCGGUAUAAGAGCGGCUCAUUGCCGUGGGAUGAGUUCUCUAAAUUAAUCAAGUCCGUCCACGCAAACCGGAUGGGGUCAGCUUCGAGAAGGACGGUGAUUCCUGACAAGCCCAAGGAGGAGGACUACUUCUAUGCUAACCCUCAAGAGUGUUUGCGUGACCCCGAUCUUCUACGGGCCUUGUGA